AACGAACGCUGGCGGCAUGCCUAACACAUGCAAGUCGAACGAGACCUUCGGGUCUAGGGGCGCACGGGGGCGGAACGCGGGGGAACCUGCCCGUAGGUUCGGAAUAACUCCCCGAAAGGGGUGCUAAUACCGGAUAAUGUCUUCGGACCAAAGAUUUAUCGCCUUUGGAUGGGCCCGCGUUGGAUUAGCUAGUUGGUAGGGUAAAAGCCUACCAAGGCGACGAUGCAUAGCUGGUCUGAGAGGAUGCUCAGCCACACUGGGACUGCGACACGGCCCAGACUCCUACGGGAGGCAGCAGUGGGGUAUAUUGGACAAUGGGCGAAAGCCUGAUACAGCCAUGCCGCGUGAGUGAUGAAGGCCUUAGGGUUGUACAGCUCUUUUACCCGGGAUGAUAAUGACAGUACCGGGUGAAUAAGCACCGGCUAACUCCGUG
rnacentral:rRNA from 1 species